rnacentral:sRNA from 1 species
UUUUCUGUGUUGAGCAUUUUGGGUCUGCAGGAGGCACAUGUACGUCCAGGGACUGCUUUUCAGCUCCUGGACAGGCCAGGGGCUUCCUUCUAUCAGCCACUCAACUAGUGUGGCCUGCAAACAGGAAAGGGCCACAGAGGGUGGGGGGUUUGCUUAGCUCUCAGGAGCUGAUGGAAGAUGGGAACAUGUACAGGAGACAGUUCUUUCAAAUCAUCUGUGUGAAAGCGGGUGUUUCCCAUUAAACACUACCAGGACAAAAUCAGGCCUUACAUCCAGCUGCCAUCGCACAGCAACAUUACCGGCAUUGUGGAAGUGAUCCUUGGGGAAACCAAGGCCUACGUCUUCUUUGAGAAAGACUUUGGGGACAUGCACUCCUAUGUGCGAAGCCGGAAGAGGCUGCGGGAAGAGGAAGCCGCCCGGCUCUUCAAGCAGAUUGUCUCCGCCGUCGCCCACUGCCACCAGUCAGCCAUCGUGCUGGGGGACCUGAAGCUUA